AAAUACACACACACAAACACACAACAAAUACAAACACACACACACACACUCACACACACACACACACCACUUUUACUGCUUUGCUUUUAGAUGCCCGACAUCUCUGAUUUCCUUACUAGUUUCUUACAGUCUCCAGCUAGGGUUGGGUAUGCUAUGGUGCUCCACAUUGUUGAGUAACUCCAAGGUUCUGCAAGGCAGAUGAGAUCCAGAUCUUAGCGACCCACAAGGGACAGUCCCCUGCUUUGGACACUGCUGCAAUUCCAGGGCACACAGCCUUUGGCCAUGUAUUUUCAGUGUGGCAAGGAAGAGAGGCUUCAUUGAUAGGGCAACAGUCUGCCCAGCUACAGGCUGCCAAGAAUCCAGCUCCUUUCCCAGAAAUAAUACCAUUCCAAAGAGGGAAGAUAAGUAUCCCCUCCCAACAGAGUUAAGGAGAGAUAACUGAGCACAGAGCACACACCCAAAGGUCACUCUGCCUGUGUGUGCACGUAACAGGAACCUCUCAUGGGAAACACAGGGUGCUGGCGACCUGGUCAGUGCCUGGGCUCAGCAGACCCAGACCUAGGCACCAGCAAGAGUGGGCUACAGAGCGAGAGAAUGGGAAGGCCAACAACUUACAGUCUUCAGUUGACCUGGAGACAGUACUCUUGAAGAUGCUCUCCGGCUCUAGAAAGGAGACCAUCAAGCUGCCCUGAGCUUCCCGAAGGACUCCUGAUGCGACUGACAGCUAUGAAGGAGACUGCACAGCAGGCUCUGAGAUCCCCUGGCUGGUGGGUUUAAUCGAUGCUGGAGAAUAACUGGAGAAUCUACAGCUGGUGUCUUUGCCUGAUGAAGAUGUAGAACUCAGCUCCUCCAGCCCCUUGCCUG
rnacentral:sRNA from 1 species